GAGUUUGAUCCUGGCUCAGAACGAACGCUGGCGGCAUGCCUAACACAUGCAAGUCGAACGUGAUCCUGGUUUCGGCCGGGUGAAAGUGGCAGACGGGUGAGUAACGCGUGGGAAUCUACCUAGCUCUUCGGAAUAGCUCCGGGAAACUGGAAUUAAUACCGAGUACGCCCUACGGGGGAAAGAUUUAUCGGAGUUAGAUGAGCCCGCGUUGGAUUAGCUAGUUGGUGGGGUAAUGGCCUACCAAGGCGACGAUCCAUAGCUGGUCUGAGAGGAUGAUCAGCCACACUGGGACUGAGACACGGCCCAGACUCCUACGGGAGGCAGCAGUGGGGAAUAUUGGACAAUGGGCGAAAGCCUGAUCCAGCCAUGCCGCGUGAGUGAUGAAGGCCUUAGGGUUGUAAAGCUCUUUCGGUGGGGAAGAUAAUGACGGUACCCACAGAAGAAGCCCCGGCUAACUUCGUGCCAGCCGCCGCCGUAAU
rnacentral:rRNA from 1 species